rnacentral:rRNA from 1 species
CCUACCCCCGCUACCAAGAUUCGCAGUACAGUGGUAUUGUUCUUUACCAACCGAGUGGAGAUGUGUGGGGUUUAGGCCCAGGGGUAUUAUUGGUGCUUAGGCACUGGUGAUUACCCUGAGCAGUAUUGUUUUAAAAUGGAUUGAACGAGAGAGUUUGAUCCUGGCUCAGAUUGAACGCUGGCGGCAUGCCUAACACAUGCAAGUCGAACGGUAGCAGGCCUUCGGGUGCUGACGAGUGGCGGACGGGUGAGUAAUGCGUAGGAAUCUGUCUUUAGUGGGGACAACCAGGGAAACUUGGGCUAAUACCGCAUGAGCCCUGAGGGGAAAGCGGGGGAUCUUCGGACCUCGCGCUAAGAGAAGAGCCUACGUCUGAUUAGCUAGUGGUAGGUAAAGGCCUACAAGGCGACGAUCAGUAGCUGGUCUGAGAGGACGACCAGCCACACUGGGACUGAGACACGG